rnacentral:misc_RNA from 1 species
CGCACCUUGCGCCCUUUGGUGUUCCGAAGGGCAUGCCUGUUUGAGUGUCAUUAAAUUCUCAACUUCAAAAAGCUUUUGUCUUGUUGAAGCUUGGAUGUGAAGGCUUGCUGGCGUUUCAAAUGUUCAGCUCCUUUAAAAUGCAUCAGUGGACCCAUUUGCGUUCAGCCCUUAGUGUGAUAGUUAUCUACGCUAUGGUUUUUGAAUGCUUGCUCAUUAGAACUUCGGGGGUGUUACUUUGUUUACAUUCUCGGUUUGGGGAGUUGCAUGUUGCAUCGUGCUCUUUCUGCCUUCUGAGUUUAGGGAUUGUCUGCUUCUAACUGUCUUGUCUGCGUUUGUAGACAGCUUUUGAACCAUUUGACCUCAAAUCAGGUAGGACUACCCGCUGAACUUAA